CGCACAUUGCGCCCAUUAGUAUUCUAGUGGGCAUGCCUGUUCGAGCGUCAUUUCAACCCUCAAGCCCCCGUUGCUUGGCGUUGGGAGCCUACAGUCCCUGUAGCUCCUCAAAGUUAGUGGCGGAGUCGGUUCAAGCUCUAGACGUAGUAAAUUUCUUAUCUCGCCUAUAGAUGGAGCCGGCCCCCUGCCGUAAAACACCCCAAUUUUUCAAGGUUGACCUCGGAUCAGGUAGGAAUACCCGCUGAACUUAA
rnacentral:misc_RNA from 1 species